rnacentral:tRNA from 1 species
UCUAUUAUGGCAGAAUAGUGCAUUGGAUUUAAACCCCAAAAAUAAAGUAACCUUUUUUUAGAA